CUUGUCUCAGGAUGAACGCUGGCGGCGUGCUUAAUACAUGCAAGUCGAGCGAACGGACGAGAAGCUUGCUUCUCUGAUGUUAGCGGCGGACGGGUGAGUAACACGUGGAUAACCUACCUAUAAGACUGGGUAUAACUUCCGGGAAACCGGGAGUUAAUACCGGAUAAAUAUUUGAAACCGCGCAUGGUUCGGAAAGUGAAAGACGUCUUGGUGUCACUUAAAGUGGAUCCCGGUGCAUAACUAGUUGGUAAGGUAACGGCUUACCCAGGCAACGAUCAAAACCGACCUGAGAGGGUGGUUGGCCACACGGGAACUGAGACACGGUCCAGAUUCCUUCGGGAGCCAGCAGUAAGGAAUCUUCCGCAAGGGGAAAGCCUGACGGAGCAACGCCGCGUGAGUGAUGAAGGUCUUCGGAUCGUAAAACUCUGUUAUUAGGGAAGAACAUAUGUGUAAGUAACUGUGCACAUCUUGACGGUACCUAAUCAGAAAGCCACGGCUAACUACUUGCCAGCAGCCGCGGUAAUACGUAGGUGGCAAGCGUUAUCCGGAAUUAUUGGGCGUAAAGCGCGCGUAGGCGGUUUUUUAAGUCUGACGUGAAAGCCCACGGCUCAACCGUGGAGGGUCAUUGGAAACUGGAAAACUUGAGUGCAGAAGAGGAAAGUGGAAUUCCAUGUGUAGCGGUGAAAUGCGCAGAGAUAUGGAGGAACACCAGUGGCGAAGGCGACUUUCUGGUCUGUAACUGACGCUGAUGUGCGAAAGCGUGGGGAUCAAACAGGAUUAGAUACCCUGGUAGUCCACGCCGUAAACGAUGAGUGCUAAGUGUUAGGGGGUUUCCGCCCCUUAGUGCUGCAGCUAACGCAUUAAGCACUCCGCCUGGGGAGUACGACCGCA
rnacentral:rRNA from 1 species